AUUGAACGCUGGCGGCAUGCCUUACACAUGCAAGUCGAACGGCAGCACGGGAGCAAUCCUGGUGGCGAGUGGCGAACGGGUGAGUAAUAUAUCGGAACGUGCCCAGUCGUGGGGAUAACGCAGCGAAAGUUGCGCUAAUACCGCAUACGAUCUACGGAUGAAAGUGGGGGAUCGCAAGACCUCAUGCUCAUGGAGCGGCCGAUAUCUGAUUAGCUAGUUGGUGGGGUAAAGGCCUACCAAGGCAUCGAUCAGUAGCUGGUCUGAGAGGACGACCAGCCACACUGGAACUGAGACACGGUCCAGACUCCUACGGGAGGCAGCAGUGGGGAAUUUUGGACAAUGGGGGGCAACCCUGAUCCAGCAAUGCCGCGUGCAGGAAGAAGGCCU
rnacentral:rRNA from 1 species